rnacentral:rRNA from 1 species
CCCUUAGAUGUUCUGGGCUGCACGCGCGCUACACUGAUGCGCUCAACGAGUUUUAACCUUGCCUGGAAAGGUUGGGUAAUCUUUUUAAAACGCAUCGUGAUGGGGAUAGAUUAUUGCAAUUAUUAAUCUUCAACGAGGAAUUCCUAGUAAGCGCGAGUCAUCAGCUCGUGCUGAUUACGUCCCUGCCCUUUGUACACACCGCCCGUCGCUCCUACCGUUUGAGUGAUCCGGUGAAUAAUUCGGACUGCGGCAUUGACCGGUUCCCGAUCGUUGCUGCGGAAAGUUUAGUGAACCUUAUCACUUAGAGGAAGGAGAAGUCGUAACA